CAAGCACUUCCUUUUCAUAUUGAAUGGUAUCUGGAAUAAAAAAUAAUAAUAAUAAAAAAAAAAAUCACACCACCUUCCGACAGCAGCAUGCUUUAGAAAUACUGGUGGUUAUUGAGAGAUUCUCUCUGCAAAGCACUUUGCAUACAAAGAAACAGAGAAGCUUGGCAAUGUGACAAACAUUUUAUGUGAAACCUGUAGACAGAAAAACAGCCAGCAACUCCAAGAGAAAGCUGUCCAUGGUCUUCCUGAAUGUCUCUAAAGAGAUUUCAGAUUAAUCCGAGGAAAUCAGGUCUGCCUACUACUAUUAUUAUUAUUAUUCCUAAUGUAUCUUAGUCCCUAGGAGUAAUCACCACAGACUAAAAGCCCCAUGGGCUAGCGAUUAGACAAUCUCCCACCUCAGAUGCUUUCCAACAGGGAGAGCUUGCAGUCUAAUGUAAGGCAGAUGCACGUACACACACAAAGAACAGACAAACAAGGAUUAAUCAACUCUCUUAACAAUGGCUUUUCACAAACCAACAGGAAAGCAUUUUUCAAGGCAUCACAGAGAACAAACAUUUUAUGCCAGGUUUGGGAAGUAAAACGCCCAGCCCUGACGGAUGGCACAGAAUAUUGACACAAAACCCUUUACAGUCAUCCCUGAAUCCUAGCACUGACACAAAAGCUGAAUCCUGGGCUUUGGUCCAAGCUCUCAAAGCUAGAGCAGUAAUUGCAAACAUUACCCAAAGAAACUUAAUUUGGGCAUGAACUAGGAAACUUUUUUUUUUUUUUUUCCAAAUGCUUUUCAGGAAGGUUGAAGCGCCUGGCUCAGGUACAGCAUUCUGUUCCCUUAUAAAAUCUGAAUAAAACUAAGGUAAAUGUGAACCUGUAACCACAAAACUCCAUCUGUGAUCUGCUCAUGCAUUAGCUCUCAAUCUGGCAUAAAUGGGGUCUUACAACCACCUCGAUAAAAUAUACAAACAAUAAAACCAAACAUUCCCCCUUUACACCUCCAUACUGCCAAACUUCUUCAGAUAUAUUUCCAACAUUCGAAGGAAAAUUGGCUAAUCAUUUCUGAGGCAAAUUUUAAUCCCCAUUUCCUUUUCCUUUGCAAGUCUGCAAAGUGCUCCCUUAUAGGUAAUUAUCAGAUUUGAUUAAUGAACUCCAUCUGGGGACACUGGGGCUUUGUUAGCCUGGAUUAAGACUUGAAGAUCUUUGCUUGUAAAUGCUUGCCAAAAGAUGCUUGUGAUUAAUUGGCUAUUUCCAUUUUACAGAAUGCCAGUCUCUGGGCAUAAAUAACAAAUACGUGAAGUCUCCAAGGUCUCAGCAUGCAGGGUGAUCAACCAUAAUCUCGUCUGCUACAAAGUGAGCCAGACCUCAGUCCCAGUGAGGUUCUCGCCCAUGUCUAUACUUUCUCUUUUUUGGUUACUUUUCUUCUUGCAAAAAGCAGCCUGGAUAAAAUGAGCGCACUCUCAGGAAGCAGCAACAAGGAGUCUGUCUUGUGUUUAACUUCACUCAAUGAUGUUACAAGACAGUAAGGAAAACGGCUUCCCCGUUUUGCUACAAGAAGGAUUGUAUUAUCCAGAGAGCUGCAGCUGGGUCCCAGCUGCUUAUGACAGCUCUGCACAAACAUGAACGAGUUCAACAUAAAAGCAGAAAGAUGACUUCGCCUUUCUCCCUCUUGGAGCCAUUGCCUACAGAGUAAAACUUUGGACAAACGCCUGGUAGAAAGGGCAAUACUGUAGCCUUCUAGAAACUAGCCCAAUAGUUUUAUUGGAAUACAUACGUGAACCAGAACUUUCCAUGGAAGAAUUAACUUUGCAGUUAUUACCUAUGUCUCUCCUGGCUUCAUAGGUGGAAGUGAGCACUAACAGGAAUUAAGAACUGAAUUUCCUAAGGACAUAAAGGAAGGAGUGCAAGGACACUGAUACUGAUCAGCUUUGUAUUUAUACCAGUACUAGUUGGAAACAAUCUGAAACGUGAAGCAUACAGGAAAUUGACACACAAAGCAAAGCAGAGCAUCAAAACAUCUGUCAGCAUCUUCCUGCGUUGGGGCUUCAUGAAUAGUACGAGUUCAGCCACUGGAGGGCAACAUGAGCUCAGUCACCCAGGCAGAUGAAGCACUACAGCCUGGAGAACUCGGCAGCACUCACCCAGCAAGAACCACCAACGUCAGAAAAGGAAUUUCUGCAUAAAGGUGAAAACCACUCACGUAUGACCAAAAUAGUCAGUCAGGACAAAGGCUCAGACUGCUGAAGUCUCAACACCCUGCGCAGAGCUCUUGCCAGAGAGACUACCUGAGAUAUUAUCAGAAUCUAGCAGCU